rnacentral:rRNA from 1 species
AUUGAACGCUGGCGGCAUGCCUUACACAUGCAAGUCGAACGGCAGCACGGGAGCAAUCCUGGUGGCGAGUGGCGAACGGGUGAGUAAUGUAUCGGAACGUGCCCAGUCGUGGGGGAUAACGUAGCGAAAGCUACGCUAAUACCGCAUACGAUCUAUGGAUGAAAGUGGGGGAUCGCAAGACCUCGCGCGAUUGGAGCGGCCGAUAUCAGAUUAGGUAGUUGGUGGGGUAAAGGCCCACCAAGCCUGCGAUCUGUAGCUGGUCUGAGAGGACGACCAGCCACACUGGAACUGAGACACGGUCCAGACUCCUACGGGAGGCAGCAGUGGGGAAUUUUGGACAAUGGGCGCAAGCCUGAUCCAGCAAUGCCGCGUGCAGGAUGAAGGCCUUCGGGUUGUAAACUGCUUUUGUACGGAACGAAACGGCUUUUUCUAAUACAGAGAGCUAAUGACGGUACCGUAAGAAUAAGCACCGGCUAACUCUGUGCCAGCAGCCGCCGUAAUAC